rnacentral:snRNA from 1 species
UUACUACUCAGUGCAGGUUUGCGGCGAUCAAUAAGGCCGCUAACCGUCGGAGACCUUCCAUUGCACUGCAUGAGGUUGAAGCGCACCUCCAAGUGAGCUAGGGUGGAGCAUCAAAUUUUUGGUAGUGGGGUCAGGCGAACGUACCAGCCCCGA